CCUUCUCUUUGUCCUUCUCCUCUUCCUCCUCUUUCUUCUUGUUCUUCAAGUCCUUUAACAUUUUUUUUUAAAUACUGUUUUUUAAAAAUACUGUUUUGUUAGUAAGAAAGUACUUUAGCUUAAGCUCUUUAUUUCUCCUUUAAUUUUAAAUGAUAACCUUGCUGGGUAAAGUAGUCUUGGUUCUAGGUCCUUGUUUUUUAUCACUUUGAAUAUUUCACACCAAUCCCUUCUGGCCUGAAAUGUUUCUGUUGAGAAAUCAGCUGACAGUUUUAUGAGAGCUCCCUUGUAGAUUCCUUUCUCGUGGCUUUUAAGAUUCUCUGUCUUUAACUUUUGCCAUUUUAUUUAUGAUGUAACUUGGUGUGGGCCUCUUCGGGUUCAUCUUGUUUGGAACUCUGUGUUUCCUUGUAUGUCUUUUUCCUUCACCAGGUUAGGAAAGUUUUCAGUCAUUAUUUCUUCAAAUAGGUUCUCAAUCCCUUGCUUUCUCUCUUUUCCUUCUGGUAUCCCUAUGACAUGGAUUUUGUUGCACUUCACAUUGUCACAAGGUCCCUUAAACUAUACUCAUUUUUAAAAAUUAUUUUUUCUUUUUUAUGCUUUGAGUGGGUGUUUUUUGUUUACCAAAUCGCUGAUUUGAUCCUCUACUUCACUGAGCACUCUGUUUAUUCCUUCAGUGUAUUCUUGAUUUCAGAUUUGAUGUUCUUCAUUUUUGACUGGUCUUCUUUAUGAUUUCUAUAUCCUUUGUCAUGCUGUUGAGCAUCCUUAUAAUGAUUACUCUGAACUCUUAUUUGAUAAAUUGCUUACCUCCAUUUCAUUUAGCACUUCUUGUGGAGAAUCCUCUUGUUCCUUCAUUUGGGGCCUGUUUCUUUGUCUCUGCAUUUUAGCUGCCUCUUUGUGUUUGUUUCUAUGUUUUAAGUAGAUCUGCUAUGGCUCCCUGUUUUCGUAGGGUGGCUUUAUGUAGUCAGCGACCUGUGGGACCCAGUGGUGUAGUCUCCUUGAUCACAUGAGCUGGGUACUCUAAGAAUGUCCCUUGUGCAUGUUAUGUGGGCCCUCCUGUCAUAAUUCAGUCUUGAUUGCUGUUGGUCCAUUUGUGUGUGGGAUCAACACUCAAGCUGGCUGGUAGUGAAGCUCAACCCCCAAUACAGCAUGAAAAUUACUACGCAGGUGCUGAUCAUACGAAGUGGAAUUCGCCUCAGGAUGGUUCUGUGCCUGCUGAAAUCUCCCUGUGGAUAUACUGUUUGUGAAGCUUAUUGGAUCCGGCUCUGUUGUCUAGAACUGGUCACUGGGUGUAAUAGUUCUGGGCCUCUUUGGUGGGGCCCUGGUGCAGGCCAGUGUCAAAUGCUGUCUGUGACUGCCUCUGGGCAACCUGUUUGGAGCUAUCAGCGAUCCACAGCUUGUGGCUCCCUCUACUGGGCCUGGGUGUGUAUAGGAAGGACCAAGCUGUGCACCAAAGUCUGCUUCAUACAUGUAUAUACAGUAGGUCCUCGGGUUACAUUGGAAAUCCGUUUCUACGGUGCGACGUAACGCGAUUUUCGCCGUAAGUCGGAACCCACCUACAUAAGCACCUACGUCACAGACAUGGAGCACAUACACAGCAGUAAUGAAGUGAAAGAGUAAAAAAAAUUUAAAAGAUAACAAUUCCUGACCUUUACUUACGGUAAAUAAAUAAUAAAUCAUUCAAGACUGAAGAUACAAUUAUUGUCUUUAGAAAAGUCAGCCACUGGGUGUUUAAACAAUGUUUCAUUACUAAAGUUGUAAAGAAACCUGGGUUAAGCUUGGCAGGCAGCCUGGUGUAAUAGUCUCUAAGAAUAGUGUCCUUUUUAGUUGUCUCAAUUGAAAUGAACAAAGAAAUGAGCAGCAGCCGUCAGUCUUGAGCAGAUGUAAGGGUAACUGGAGGCAUAUGCAGAGGCACUGAGCCUGGCUAUAGUGGGACUUUUAGGAGGGGCUGCUAACUUGAUCUUCCCACUAUGGCCUCCUGAAUCUUGACCACAGUUCUCAGAAGAGACCUGUUAUAAAAUUUGGGUUUAUAUUAAAAAUAAUAGGAAGUCAUUAAGACAUUUCAAGUAGGGAGGUGACGUGAUCUAUUUUAUAUUUUACAUGAUCAGCCUGUCUGUGGUGUGAGAGUAGAUUAGAAUGAAUGUAGACAAAUGAACAUAGGAAGCUACUGUUAACACCUAAGCUAUAAAGGAUGGAGGCCUGAACUAAUAGGAAGUGGAGAAUGUACAUAAGGGACAUCUGGUGGCUGAUUAAAUGUAGGAAGUGAGCCCUGACUGGUUUGGCUCAGUGGAUAGAGCGUAGGCCUGUGGACUGGAGGGUCCCAGGUUCGAUUCUGGUCAAGGGCAUUAAAAUAAAUAAAUGUAGGAAGUGAGGGACAAGGUGACAUUGAGAAAAGAGAAUCCUAGGUUAUUAAAGAGCUAGUUUAUUAAAGAGCUCAUUUAAGCAUAAUGAGAAAUGUAGCAAAAUAUUGGUAAUAGACAGUAGGGGUGUGGUGUUGCCUUUCAGUUCUUCACCAAGGAUCUGGGGAUAUUUUUUGUCUUGAUCUGUUCAGAGCAUUUUUUUAUCAGCUGGAUUCUCUGUAACCUGCUUGACCUCUGCUAUGGCCCACAUCAAAAGAGCUAACAUUUUCAGAGGAUAAUCUAUGUCCUGAAAUCUGCUAUGGACUGAAUUGUGCCACCAUCCCAAAUUUAUCUGACGAAGUUCUAACCACCAAUGAGACUAUAUUUAGAGAUGCAGCCCAUAAGAAGACACCCACAUAUAUGAGAGGCCAUGUGAGCACACAGUGAGAAGGCAGCCAUCUAUAAGCCAGGAAGAGAAGUCUCACCAGAAACCAAACCUGCCAACAGCUUUGUCUUGAACUUCUGGCCUCCAGGACUAUAAAGAAAUGAGUUUCUGUUUUUUAGACUAGGUGGCAUUUGUUAAGGCAUCUAUGGUAUUUUGUAACAGCAGCCCAGCAGACUAACAGUGUUAACAGGUAAGUAUUGUCAUUUUCAUUUAUAGAUGAUAAUGAGGCUUGGUGUUUGACUUGAUUAAGAUCCCACAGGCAUUAGCAUCUCACCCUCUGCACUCCAAUGGAUCCUUCCUUAUAUAUCAGCCCUUUGUUUCUUCAGAGAAUCAUCUGGGCUUACCUGGGAAGUACCAAGUCUUCACCAAUUCUAUUUCUAAGAUCCUAGCUGCUAGUCUUCCUUUCAGCCUGCUGUGCAGACCCAUAAAAUUGUAGCAGGAUAGUAAGAAGCUAGGAAAAUCCCCGGCGAAGUAGAACAAGGAAACAGACAAAAUUAAACAAGGCCAAACAGUUUGGGCAACUUAUAGCCAGCUUGUGAAUCACAUGACCUUAUCUUCUCCAACCAAGGACACUUGAGAGCAAAUGGUUUAUACCCUCCUCCAUAAUCAGAAAAUACAUAGCUUAAAUCACCCUGGCCUGGGAAUCUAGAGAACAAAGACCCAAUUAAGGACAUUUGUGCCAGCUAAACCCAAGGACAGAGGACAGUGGGAAACAAGUAAUAAAAAUCCCGUUAAAGCCAGACAAACCUAAGAUAAAACAGACCAAAGAAUAAUUUAAAAAACUCCCAAUACACUCAUUUGAGGUCUCAGCAUAUUAAAAAUGCACCUGGCAAGCUGAAGAAUAUUCUACCAAAACCCUCCCCUAAGAGUCUCAUCUGCAAGAAAAUGAGAGAGAGAGAGAGAGAGAGAGAGAGAGAGAGAGAGAGAGAGAGAGAGAGAGAGAGA